GCGGGUGUAAUUUAGUGGUAAAACUACAGCCUUCCAAGCUGUUGUCGCGAGUUCGAUUCUCGUCACCCGCU
rnacentral:tRNA from 1 species